ACUCCUACGGGAGGCAGCAGUAGGGAAGUCUUCCUACAAUGGGCGCAAGCCUGACGGAGGCAACACCGCGUGAGUGAAGAAGGGUUUCGGCUCGUAAAGCUCUGUUGUUAAAAAGAAACAACGUAUGAGAGUAACUGUUCAUACGUUGACGGUAUUUAACCAGAAAGUCACGGCUAACUACGUGCCAGCAGCCGCGGUAAUACGUAGGUGGCAAGCGUUAUCCGGAUUUAUUGGGCGUAAAGAGAGUGCAGGCGGUUUUCUAAGUCUGAUGUGAAAGCCUUCGGCUUAACCGGAGAAGUGCAUCGGAAACUGGAUAACUUGAGUGCAGAAGAGGGUAGUGGAACUCCAUGUGUAGCGGUGGAAUGCGUAGAUAUAUGGAAGAACACCAGUGGCGAAGGCGGCUACCUGGUCUGCAACUGACGCUGAGACUCGAAAGCAUGGGUAGCGAACAGGAUUAGAUACCCUGGUAGGAUA
rnacentral:rRNA from 1 species